rnacentral:rRNA from 1 species
UACGUAGGGGGCAAGCGUUGUCCGGAUUUAUUGGGCGUAAAGAGCGUGUAGGCGGCCAAAUAGGUCGGUUGUGAAAACUGGAGGCUUAACCUCCAGACGUCGACCGAAACCAUCUGGCUAGAGUCCGGAAGGGGAGAGUGGAAUUCCUGGUGUAGCGGUGAAAUGCGCAGAUAUCAGGAAGAACACCCGUGGCGAAGGCGGCUCUCUGGGACGGUACUGACGCUGAGACGCGAAAGCGUGGGGAGCGAACAGG